rnacentral:rRNA from 1 species
UUCCCACUCAAGCCUCGCUUGGUAUUGGGCAACGCGGUCCGCCGCGUGCCUCAAAUCGUCCGGCUGGGUCUUCUGUCCCCUAAGCGUUGUGGAAACUAUUCGCUAAAGGGUGUUCGGGAGGCUACGCCGUAAAACAACCCCAUUUCUAAGGUUGACCUCGGAUCAGGUAGGGAUACCCGCUGAACUUAAGCAUAUCAAUAAGCGGAGGAAAAGAAACCAACAGGGAUUGCUCUAGUAACGGCGAGUGAAGCAGCAAUAGCUCAAAUUUGAAAUCUGGCGUCUUCGACGUCCGAGUUGUAAUUUGUAGAGGAUGCUUCUGAGUGGCCACCGACCUAAGUUCCUUGGAACAGGACGUCAUAGAGGGUGAGAAUCCCGUAUGCGGUCGGAAAGGCGCUCUAUACGUAGCUCCUUCGACGAGUCGAGUUGUUUGGGAAUGCAGCUCUAAAUGGGAGGUAAAUUUCUUCUAAAGCUAAAUAUUGGCCAGAGACCGAUAGCGCACAAGUAGAGUGAUCGAAAGAUGAAAAGCACUUUGGAAAGAGAGUUAAAAAGCACGUGAAAUUGUUAAAAGGGAAGGGAUUGCAACCAGACUUGCUCGCGGUGUUCCGCCGGUCUUCUGACCGGUCUACUCGCCGCGUUGCAGGCCAGCAUCGUCUGGUGCCGCUGGAUAAGACUUGAGGAAUGUAGCUCCCUCGGGAGUGUUAUAGCCUCUUGUGAUGCAGCGAGCGCCGGGCGAGGUCCGCGCUUCGGCUAGGA